AUUGAACGCUGGCGGCAUGCCUUACACAUGCAAGUCGAACGGCAGCACGGGAGCAAUCCUGGUGGCGAGUGGCGAACGGGUGAGUAAUAUAUCGGAACGUGCCCAGUCGUGGGGAUAACGUAGCGAAAGCUACGCUAAUACCGCAUACGAUCUAUGGAUGAAAGCGGGGGAUCGCAAGACCUCGCGCGAUUGGAGCGGCCGAUAUCAGAUUAGGUAGUUGGUGAAGUAAAGGCUCACCAAGCCGACGAUCUGUAGCUGGUCUGAGAGGACGACCAGCCACACUGGGACUGAGACACGGCCCAGACUCCUACGGGAGGCAGCAGUGGGGAAUUUUUGGACAAUGGGCGCAAGCCUGAUCCAGCAAUGCCGCGUGCAGGAUGAAGGCCU
rnacentral:rRNA from 1 species